rnacentral:rRNA from 1 species
UACGUAGGGUGCGAGCGUUAAUCGGAAUUACUGGGCGUAAAGCGUGCGCAGGCGGUUGUGUAAGACAGAUGUGAAAUCCCCGGGCUUAACCUGGGAACUGCAUUUGUGACUGCACGGCUGGAGUGCGGCAGAGGGGGAUGGAAUUCCGCGUGUAGCAGUGAAAUGCGUAGAUAUGCGGAGGAACACCGAUGGCGAAGGCAAUCCCCUGGGCCUGCACUGACGCUCAUGCACGAAAGCGUGGGGAGCAAACAGG